rnacentral:rRNA from 1 species
UUUGUGUGAAUUGCAGAAUCCCGUGAACCAUCGAGUCUUUGAACGCAAGUUGCGCCCAAAGCCAUUAGGCUGAGGGCACGCCUGCCUGGGUGUCA